UCAUCUUCGGGGGUAGAGCACUGUUUCGACUAGGGGGUCAUCCCGACUUACCAACUCGAUGCAAACUGCGAAUACCGAAGAAUGUUAUCACGGGAGACACACGGCGGGUGCUAACGUCCGUCGUGAAGAGGGAAACAACCCAGACCGCCAGCUAAGGUCCCAAAGUCAUGGUUAAGUGGGAAACGAAGUGGGAAGGCUCAGACAGCCAGGAUGUUGGCUUAGAAGCAGCCAUCAUUUAAAGAAAGCGUAAUAGCUCACUGGUCGAGUCGGCCCGCGCGGAAGAUGUAACGGGGCUAAACCAUGCACCGAAGCUGCGGCAGCGACACAUAGUGUUGUUGGGUAGGGGAGCGUUCUGUAAGCCUGCGAAGGUGUACUGUGAGGUAUGCUGGAGGUAUCAGAAGUGCGAAUGCUGACAUAAGUAACGAUAAUGCGGGUGAAAAACCCGCACGCCGGAAGACCAAGGGUUCCUGUCCAACGUUAAUCGGGGCAGGGUGAGUCGACCCCUAAGGCGAGGCUGAAAAGCGUAGUCGAUGGGAAACGGGUUAAUAUUCCCGUACUGGUGGUAACUGCGAUGGGGGAACGGAGAAGGCUAGGUUGUCCGGGCGACGGUCGUCCCGGUUCAAGCAGGUAGGCAGAGUGAUUAGGCAAAUCCGGUCACUUAAUGCUGAGAUGUGAUGACGAACCACUAAGGUGGUGAAGCAAUUGAUGCCCCGCUUCCAGGAAAAGCCUCUAAGCUUCAGGUUACCAACAAUCGUACCCCAAACCGACACAGGUGGUCAGGUAGAGAAUACUCAGGCGCUUGAGAGAACUCGGGUGAAGGAACUAGGCAAAAUGGUGCCGUAACUUCGGGAGAAGGCACGCUGGCGGUAGGUAAAGUCCCUCGCGGACGGCGCCCAAGCCAGUCGAAGAUACCAGCUGGCUGCAACUGUUUAUUAAAAACACAGCACUGUGCAAACACGAAAGUGGACGUAUACGGUGUGACGCCUGCCCGGUGCUGGAAGGUUAAUUGAUGGGGUUAGCGCAAGCGAAGCUCCUGAUCGAAGCCCCAGUAAACGGCGGCCGUAACUAUAACGGUCCUAAGGUAGCGAAAUUCCUUGUCGGGUAAGUUCCGACCUGCACGAAUGGCGUAAUGAUGGCCAGGCUGUCUCCACCCGAGACUCAGUGAAAUUGAACUCGCUGUGAAGAUGCAGUGUACCCGCGGCAAGACGGAAAGACCCCGUGAACCUUUACUAUAGCUUGACACUGAACAUUGAGCCUUGAUGUGUAGGAUAGGUGGGAGGCUUUGAAGUGUGGACGCCAGUCUGCAUGGAGCCAACCUUGAAAUACCACCCUUUAACGUUUGAUGUUCUAACCUAGGCCCAUAAACUGGGUCGGGGACCGUGUCUGGUGGGUAGUUUGACUGGGGCGGUCUCCUCCUAAAGAGUAACGGAGGAGCACGAAGGUUGGCUAAGCAUGGUCGGACAUCAUGCGGUUAGUGCAAAGGCAUAAGCCAGCUUGACUGCGAGAGUGACGGCUCGAGCAGGUACGAAAGUAGGUCUUAGUGAUCCGGUGGUUCUGAAUGGAAGGGCCAUCGCUCAACGGAUAAAAGGUACUCCGGGGAUAACAGGCUGAUACCGCCCAAGAGUUCAUAUCGACGGCGGUGUUUGGCACCUCGAUGUCGGCUCAUCACAUCCUGGGGCUGAAGUAGGUCCCAAGGGUAUGGCUGUUCGCCAUUUAAAGUGGUACGCGAGCUGGGUUUAGAACGUCGUGAGACAGUUCGGUCCCUAUCUGCCGUGGGCGUUGGAAGAUUGAGAGGGGUUGCUCCUAGUACGAGAGGACCGGAGUGAACGCACCACUGGUGUUCGGGUUGUCAUGCCAAUGGCAUUGCCCGGUAGCUAAGUGCGGAAGAGAUAACCGCUGAAAGCAUCUAAGCGGGAAACUUGCCUCGAGAUGAGUCUUCCCUGUCGCUUUAAGCGACCUAAAGGAACGUUUAAGACUAAGACGUUGAUAGGCUGGGUGUGUAAGCGUAGCGAUACGUUGAGCUAACCAGUACUAAUGAACCGUGAGGCUUAACCUG
rnacentral:rRNA from 1 species